UGUUAAAAAUUUCAUCUAUUUGUUUCGUUAAAAAUUGGCGUGAAUAACGGAAUAGCUAGAUAGUGACACAUGACGUGCCACAUGUAACGUCUAAGGACCAAACUUUAACGAUAAAAAUUGAUGAAAUUUUUAACA
rfam:Gossypium hirsutum cultivar TM-1 chromosome 3, whole genome shotgun sequence